rnacentral:misc_RNA from 1 species
GGGAUGAGGUAUCAAUUUAUGUUACUGGGCCAGUGAAAAUUAUAGAUCCCCAUUUAGUUUCAACAUUUUUUGAUGGAUACAAGAGGGUAUAUUUGCAUGCUACAACUGAGUUGGAAAACAAAGGUGCCUGGGUUGCUGAAUGUAAUUUGAAUAUCCAAGUAUCAUUAGAGCUUGAAGGAAGCAUUUGCUUAGUUGAGCAUCUUCAGACACAACAUGUGUCAAUCCCAGCUGGAAAAAGUGUUCAAUAUACAUUUCCUGAGCUUUUUUUUCUACAAGCCCAAUUUAUGGUCCAAAUGGUAUGGGAAAGCAAUCCAUGUAUAAUGUUAUUAUUACUGUUGAUGUGGGGGAAUAUGGGGAGUCUGACUCAUGGAGCCAUCUGUUUGGAUUCCGUAAAAUUGAGAGCUACAUUGAUAGCAGAACUGGUGGGAGGUUGUUCAAGGUCAAUGGGCAGCCUAUUUUUAUUCGUGGUGGUAAUUGGAUAUUGUCAGAUGGGUUACUGCGGCUUUCCAAAAAACGUUACAGAACAGACAUAAAGUUCCAUGCAGAUAUGAAUUUUAACAUGAUCCGGUGCUG